AGCGAAAUUCCUUGUCGGGUAAGUUCCGACCUGCACGAAUGGCGUAACGACUUCCCCACUGUCUCGACCAGGAGCUCGGCGAAAUUGCAGUACGAGUAAAGAUGCUCGUUAAGCGCAGAAGGACGAAAAGACCCCGGGACCUUUACUAUACCUUGGUAUUGGCAUUCGGUGUGGAUUGUGUAGCAUAGGCGGAAGGCUUCGAAGCCACGGCGCCAGCCGCGGUGGAGCCGCAAGGUGAAAUACCGCUCUGUUCGCAUUGGAUGUCUAACCUCGACCAGUCAUCCUGGUCAGGGACAGUGCCUGGCGGGUAGUUUAACUGGGGCGGUUGCCUCCCAAAGAGUAACGGAGGCGCUCAAAGGUUCCCUCAGCCCGGUUGGCAAUCGGGUGGCGAGUGUAAGUGCACAAGGGAGCUUGACUGCGAGACUGACGGGUCGAGCAGGGACGAAAGUCGGAACUAGUGAUCCGGUGCCGGUGUACGGACGCGGCAUCGCUCAACGGAUAAAAGGUACCCCGGGGAUAACAGGCUGAUCAUUCCCAAGAGUCCAUAUCGACGGGAUGGUUUGGCACCUCGAUGUCGGCUCGUCGCAUCCUGGGGCUGGAGCAGGUCCCAAGGGUUCGGCUGUUCGCCGAUUAAAGCGGCACGCGAGCUGGGUUCAGAACGUCGUGAGACAGUUUGGUCUCUAUCCUCUGCGCUCGUCGGAAUGUUGAGGAGGCCUGCCCAUAGUACGAGAGGACCUGGGUGGACGAACCUCUGGUAUGCCGGUUGUCACGCCAGUGGCACGGCCGGUUGGCUACGUUCGGAAGGGAUAACCGCUGAAAGCAUCUAAGCGGGAAGCCUGCUCCAAGAUAAGCAUUCCAUAGGACUACGGGUCCUUGAAGUCCCCAUGCAGAACACGUGGUUGAUAGGCCGGACGUGGAAGCCCCGCGAGGGGUGGAGCCGACCGGUACUAACGGACGAAAGGCAACACAAC
rnacentral:rRNA from 1 species